rnacentral:rRNA from 1 species
GUACGGGGGGGGCAAGCGUUGUUCGGAAUUACUGGGCGUAAGGGCUCGUAGGUGGCCAACUAAGUCGGACGUGAAAUCCCUCAGCUUAACUGGGGAACUGCGUCCGAUACUGGAUGGCUUGAGUUUGGGAGAGGGAUGCGGAAUUCCAGGUGGUAGCGGUGAAAUGCGUAGAUAUCAGGAGGAACACCGGUGGCGAAGGCGGGUCUCUGGGC